rnacentral:rRNA from 1 species
UACGUAGGCAGCAAGCGUUGUUCGGAAUUACUGGGCGUAAAGAGUGUGUAGGCGGUGUCGUAAGUUUGGCGUGAAAUCUCCCGGCUUAACUGGGAGGGUGCGCCGAAGACUGCGAUGCUUGAGGAUCGGAGAGGAAAGUGGAAUUUCUGAUGUAGCGGUGAAAUGCGUAGAUAUCAGAAGGAACACCUGUGGUGUAGACGGCUUUCUGGACGAUUCCUGACGCUGAGACACGAAAGCGUGGGUAGCAAACAGG